UAAAAAGCUCGUAGUUGGAUCUGUGUAUCGGACGGUCGGUUCGCCGCUCGCGGCGUUUAACUGACCGGUCCGGACGUCCUGCCGGUGGGACCCGGUUCGCGCCGGGGCCCGUAACUCCCUCCGCGCUGCUCUUAACCGAGUGGUUCGGUGGGCCGGCACGUUUACUUUGAACAAAUUUGAGUGCUCAAAGCAGGCCUUAUGUUGCCUGAAAACUGUGUGCAUGGAAUAAUGGAAUAGGGCCUCGGUUCUAUUUUGUUGGCUUUUCUGAACCCGAGGUAAUGAUUAAUAGGGACAGACGGGGGCAUUCGUAUGGCGACGUUAGAGGUGAAAUUCUUGGAUCGUCGCCAGACGGACCGAUGCGAAAGCGUUUGCCAAGAAUGUUUUCGCUAAUCAAGAACGAAAGUUAGAGGUUCGAAGGCGAUCAGAUACCGCCCUAGUUCUAACCAUAAACGAUGCCAGCCAGCGAUGCGCCGAAGUUCCUCCGAUGACUCGGCGCGCAGCUUCCGGGAAACCAAAGCUUUUGGGUUCCGGGG
rnacentral:rRNA from 4 species